rnacentral:tRNA from 1 species
GCUGCGGUAGCUCAGUGGCAAGAGCGCUUAUCCGGACAAGGGUGCGCAGGUUCAAGUCCUGCCCGCAGCGCCA